AUUUGGAGACAUUUCUCUCUCCUCUGUGUAGUUGAUAGUUUGCUGGUGAAGAGAUGGCUGACAGUGUCAAAACCUUUCUUCAGGACCUUGCCAGAGGAAUCAAAGACUCCACCUGGGCUGUUUGUACCAUCUCAAAGCUAGAUGCUCAAAUCCAGGAAAAGAGAGAGGAGCAGCCUUGAAGAAGGGCAAGUAGUGUCUUGGCCCAAAGAAGAGCCCAGCAUAUAGAGUGGAGGCAAGAGAGUGAGCCAUGCGUUGUUAGUAGAAUUUUCCAGCGUUGUGCUUGGAAUGGUGGAGUGUUGUUGUUCAGUCUCCUUUUGUUUUAUCGAGUAUUUAUUCCUGUGCUUCAGUCAGUAACAGCCCAAAUUAUUGGUGAUCCAUCACUACAUGGAGAUGUUUGGUAGUGGCUGGAAUUCUUCCUCAGGUCAAUUUUCAAUGCUCUUUGGGUGCUCCCCUUGUUUGUGCUUAGCAAAGUAGUGAAUGCCAUUUGGUUCCAGGAUAUAGCUGACCUGACAAUUGAGGUAUCAGGGAGGAAGCCUCACCCAUUCCCUAGUGUCAGCAAAAUAAUUGCUGACAUGCUCUUCAACCUUUUGCUGCAGGCUCUUUUCCCCAUUCAGGGAAUGUUUGUGAUUCUCUUUCUCAUCCAUCUUGUAGGUCAGCUGGUUAGUCUCCUGCAUAUGUCCCUUCUCUAGUCACUGUACUGCUUUGAAUAUCGUUGGUUCAGUAAAGGAACUGAAAUACACCAGCAGUUGUCUAACAUAGAGAGCAAUUGGCCUUACUACUUUGGGUUUGGUUUGCCCUUGGCUUUUCUCAUAGCAAUGCAGUCCUCAUAUACUAUCAGCAGCUGCCUUUUCUCUAUCCUCUUUCCUUUAUUCAUUAUCAGCGCCAAUGAAGCAAAGACCCCUGGAAAAGCGUAUCUCUUCCAGUUGUGCCUGUUCUCCUUGGUGGUCUUCUUAAGCAACAGACUCUUCCACAAGACAGUCUACCUGCAGUCUGUCCUGAGCAGCUCCACUUCUGCAGAGAAGUUCCCUUCACCUCAUCCGUCUCUUGCCAAACUGAAGGCUACUGCAGGCCACUGA
rnacentral:lncRNA from 1 species